rnacentral:rRNA from 1 species
CCUACGGGAGGCAGCAGUGAGGAAUAUUGGUCAAUGGACGCAAGUCUGAACCAGCCAUGCCGCGUGAGGGAUGACGGCUCUAUGAAUUGUAAACUUCUUUUAUACGGGAGUAAAGUCCGGUACGCGUCUCGUUCUGUAUGUAUCGUACGAAUAAGGAUCGGCUAACUCCGUGCCAGCAGCCGCGGUAAUACGGAGGAUUCAAGCGUUAUCCGGAUUUAUUGGGUUUAAAGGGUGCGUAGGCGGUCGGAUAAGUUAGCGGUGAAAUCCUGAGGCUCAACUUCGGAAUUGCCUUUGAUACUGUUCGGCUAGAGAGUAGUUGCGGCAGGCGGAAUGUAUGGUGUAGCGGUGAAAUGCUUAGAGAUCAUACAGAACACCGAUUGCGAAGGCAGCUUACCAAGCUAUGUCUGACGCUGAGGCACGAAAGCGUGGGGAGCAAACAGGAUUAGAUACCCGAGUAGUC